AGUCAGACCGCAGCUCGCGCGAUAAUGAGCAUAUUCACGGAAAUUUAUUCAGCGGCCCUCUAGCGGUCUCCGAAGGAAAACGUGCGAUCAAUUUGGCUUGAUUUUCCCACUGAAUUGGAGGGGCUGAAGUUAUAGCUCUGUACUGGUCGCUAACUUCAGUUUACGUCGAAACGAAUUGUGAUCUGCAUACUUGCUGACUCUGGUCUCUGCUUGCUACUUCAUUCUGGGAGAGUCCAUCAUGUACUAUAAUGGUCAGACCAUGAUUUCGACAAAGCCCUUAUUUCGUUUGCAAAUUUUGGACUGAUACAACAGAAAAUUUAUCUUUAUCGAUAUUGGAAACAAAAAAUUAGAGCACAGUUUUGGGGAGGACUAAGAAUACUGACUUGGACAGGAAUACAGCUUGACAAAAAUAAAAAUUCACAAUUCAAAACCAAAGAACAUUUUUAAUGUUACUAAUAGUGCAUUGCAAGAAACUUUCUACUCAAUCACACAUUCCAAAAUUAAGGGUAAGUCCUUUGAUUAAACACAAACAUGUAGUUGAUUUGCAAUUGAAAUUGAACGUAAGUUUCUUGCAAUGCCCCAUAAUCAUAUUUUGUUCUCAAGCAACUCUGUUAUAUGUUAUCUAAUGUGCUGAAGGUUAAGUGCCAUGUAUGUUCACAAUUUUUUUUUUCGAAGGUAUAAUAUAUUUGUCCUUUUAAACGGUA